UACGGGGGGGGCAAGCGUUGUUCGGAAUUACUGGGCGUAAAGGGCUCGUAGGCGGCCAACUAAGUCAGACGUGAAAUCCCCAGGCUCAACCUGGGAACUGCGUCUGAUACUGGAUGGCUUGAAUUCGGGAGAGGGAUGCAGAAUUCCAGGUGUAGCGGUGAAAUGCGUAGAUAUCUGGAGGAAUACCGGUGGCGAAGGCGGCAUCCUGGACCAAUACUGACGCUGAGGAGCGAAAGCGUGGGGAGCAAACAGG
rnacentral:rRNA from 1 species